rnacentral:rRNA from 1 species
GGUUGACCUCGGAUCAGGUAGGGAUACCCGCUGAACUUAAGCAUAUCAAUAAGCGGAGGAAAAGAAACCAACAGGGAUUGCCCCAGUAACGGCGAGUGAAGCGGCAAGAGCUCCAAUUUGAAAGCUGGCUCCUUCG